UCCUAGUUAGUACAACGGUUAGUAUAUGUCGCUCUCAUAAGUUUCGACUGUGUGGCGCCGACAAGACCCGGGUUCGACUCCCGGAUUGGGAAC
rnacentral:tRNA from 1 species